AUGACGCUUGAGCAGCUGCUGAUGUAUUGCUCGGCAUUCGUGGUCCAACUGCUGGAGCAGGGUGAGGAGGAGAUGCGCCACAGGGUGCUCGGCUGGUUCGUGCACCGCGCGCACGAGAUCAUGGGGAACAGGCAGGGGCAUGCGGUGUUCGCCACGCUGCUGCGCAUCUGCCGCUGGCGGUAUGAGGAGCUCCGCAGCAUCGUGGAAGCCGCCGUCACGCCCAACCUCGUCUCGAGGUCCAACGACGGGGUGACAUCUCUGAAGAUGCUCAUUGCGGAGGUGGCGCGGCACUGGGACCUGUCCGAGCGGCUCGUCGGCAGCUUCGUGAAUGAGCGCGUGAUGGACGAGGCCGGAGGGAACGAACUGAUUGCCGACUGUUUCGCCACGAUGCCUUACGAGGUGACCAGGGCUCUGAUCCGGCACGCCCUGGACACCAUCAAUGACAAGCUGGAGUCAGAGUUGGGGUCGAGGUGCCUGGCAGUAUGCUUCAGGAACGCGCGAGCCGACCAUCUCAAGGACUUCGAGAAGGCCGUCUGUGAAGGCGCCAUAGCAAUGGCCAUGGGCCAAUACAGCAACUACUUCAUGCAGGGCGUCCUGGAGCAUGGGGACAUAGGUGUACAGUACGCCGUCGUGGAUCAGCUCAUGACGGAAGUCGCCAGUCUGUGCUGCCACCGGUACGGGCACUACGUGGUGCAGUCUUGCAUCCUGAAGAGCGGCGAUUACCGGGGCGAGCUGCUGCGGCGUCUGAUCCAGGAGCUUGAACGGCUGGGCGAUACACAGCUCGCCGGGCUGGUGAAGAACCGCUUCGGCAGCCGCGUCCUCAGCCGCCUGCUCGACACGGCCGAAACUCCUCGCUUCAGGAGCGAGCGCUGGGGGUGGGAGCUGGCCCAGAGGAUCAGGCGCGCAUCGGCGGCCCACCUGGGGCCUGACCUGGAGAAGACUAACGCGAAGCGGGUGAUGAAGUCCGUAGACCGGAUGGGGCUGUCGUAG
rnacentral:rRNA from 1 species